AUUGAACGCUGGCGGCGUGCUUAACACAUGCAAGUCGAUCGGUAACGCGGGGGCAACCCUGGCGACGAGAGGCGGACGGGUGAGGAACGCUUGGGAAUCUGCCCUUCAGCGGGGGACAACACGGGGAAACUCGUGCUAAUACCGCAUACGCUCCACGGAGGAAAGCCGGGGACCGCAGGGCCUGGCACGGAAGGAUGAGCCGAAGUCGGAUUAGCCAGUUGGCGGGGUAACGGCCCACCAAGGCGACGAUCCGUAGCUGGUCUGCGAGGACGAUCAGCCACACUGGGACUGAGACACGGCCCAGACUCCUACGGGAGGCAGCAGUGGGGAAUAUUGGACAAUGGGGGAAACCCUGAUCCAGCGACGCCGCGUGGGUGAAGAAGGCCUGCGGGUUGUAAAGCCCUUUCGGUAGGGACGAAAGCUCUCGACCUAACACGUCGGGAGGUUGACUCAACCUACAAAAGAAGCACCGGCUAACUCUGUGCCAGCCGCCGCGGUAAGAC
rnacentral:rRNA from 1 species